ensembl:lncRNA
GUACACACCGACAAACCACACAACACGCAAAGAAGCAUCCUCUUCACAUUACAACCAAAUCUGAUAUUCGAAACCAAACCCGGAUGCGCUCGUUCACAGAACUCUCAGAACUAUCGCCGUGAAACCCAAAGUGGGGACGUCCACGCUCUUAUUUGCCAGGUUUCACCGUGGCGAGAGAGACAGGUCUGGACAGAGGCCACAGCAGACGCGCGUCUUCCAUAAGUGGACAUCACGGCUGGGUGGACAGAAGCGGGAGGCGACGACAGCUCCGGGGGCGGAGAGGUGGCCCCUCGCCGCCACGUGAAACCACGUCCCUCAAACCGGCUCAGAAAAGACGAGACGGCUGGAAGGGAACUCUCCUUGUGCAACCUUAAGGCUGCAGCCUUAAUGCCUUGAGUCACCACACGGCCGCUUGGUUCCGGUUAGUGUCCUCACUGUGGCAGGGAUGUUAGCCAGACGAAGGGGCUUUGCUGGUGACUCACCUGAUUCAAGGCCAUCUGCCCGGGGGAGGAGGGGGGGAGACCACAAAAAGACCACAACACACAACACCCGCAGAUGAAUAGAUAUAUCACCUCGCAGAUCCAGUUACGACGAGUCAACAAUGGACACAAAAGGCUCAAUGUACACGCCGGAUCAAAAAGAGCCUUCAGAUAAUGGGUCCAGAACGCUGCAGGUCUGCCCAGAACCUCUGUGGGCGAGGACAAUGCCGGCAUGGAUCUGGAUACGGUGACGUCUCCUAUUGCUCCCCGUCCCCACUCCCAAGAAGAAAAAUCCCCAUUUGAGACAAAGACGUUUGUCAAGGUCCCGUCACAGGAAAAGGGGGAUUUGAAGAUUUUCAAAAGCAGAGGCUGACAGUUCAGAUGUGGUGGAGCCUUUGCCUGGUGACACAUGGAGAUAAUAACCGUGGCAGUGACUCAAGAGUCAAAUACCAACAUUUUUCACAAAGCCAUGGUGGAAGAAGUCAUACAUUGUCACUUUAAUCACCUUCUAAACCUCGGGUAUGUCGUUUUUUUGUGGAGAAGAAAAGUCUCCACUGCUGUGGAAGACGACCGGCAAGC